rnacentral:lncRNA from 1 species
UAAUAAAGAGCUCCUAUCAAUGAUUAGCAGUGUCACUGCUACAAACCCCUAGAGAGCAUCAUCCAUGUGCAGAUGGGAAAGCCAAGGCCAAAGCCCCAAAGCUAGUGUAUGGUGGAGCCGCCCAGGAAUUCCAGUCCAAAGCCACACACUCACCAGCCACUGGCCCUGCAGCUUUUGCAUUACUUUGAUUCUUUAAUCGUCUCUGGGGUGACCUCUUUGGGGUAUAAUGGAAGUUGCCUGCAAAGUCUGAGGUGGCCUUCAGACUGGCAAUCCUUCUGACCUCUCCUCGCAGUUGGAAUGCAAUGGGAAGUACCUGCGAAUGGAAGUAUCUGCUGUCCAAAAGCCUUGCAAGCCUAGCGCCAGGGCUGCACCCUGAAAGAGCCGCACCCUCAAGGGACUGGCAGGCCCACCCCUGCUCUGGUCUCCCUGGACAGAGAGGAGGACACAUGUGGAUGCUAACCUUUGCAUUCAUUAGCCAGCAGCUGCAGCCAGAGAUCAAUGAUAAGUAGAAAUUGUGCACGUCCGACUGCUGUGCCUUCGCUCGCUACGAAGCACGUGACUUCCUAUUAACGGUAUCUCUCGUCUUACCAAACCGAUAUUUCCUGUAAAGGGCUGAGACUAAUUGUGGUUUUAACAAGGGUCAUGUUAUGCAUUUCUAUGAGAGCGAACAGCCAUAGGUCAGACAGUCAGACGGUCAGUCUGGAAAAGAGAUCCAUACUCCACAUCUUUAAGGCUGAUGUGAAGCCCAGAUAAGUGUGUUGGUGAUGUGGAAGUUACCCUGGGAAGAUAGAAUGGGAGAAAAUGAACUCUGGAGAGAAGCAACUGCCUUAGAGAUGCAGCAUCAAGGUUUUCUUUGGCGUGUAUUCGGGGAAAGCAAUCUUUGAAGAUGAGAUUCUACAGUCUGACAGCGGCAGCUCCUACCUUCCCUGGCCCCAGGAGAGCCAGGCAGGAUUUUGGUGGCUGUCACUCUGUCUGGGGCAGUCACAGAGAGGAGGAGAGGAGGAUGUGGCUGCCGAUGGCAAUUUUCUCAGUUUGCUGCUUUGCCACUCCUUGCUGUCGAGGAAGGCAGAGGCUGCCUGGGAGAGCCCGGUCCCCGGAUUGGCUUGUUACUCCACAGAGUGGAAAUGCUGUGAUUGAACUCAGAGCUCCCGAGCUCAACCUGUGCCUUGACAAACAACAUGAAGACGAGAGCAAGGCACCACUCAAUCAUCUUUCUUCCAGUGCAUCUAGGAAUUUCAUCUGGGAAAUUAAUGUCUGAUCCUACUAGGGAAAUUUGAAACAACCACUAUAAAAUGCUAAAAUCCCCCCCUCCCUGAAUGAUUUAAUGGACAGUGCAUAUGCAUGAAGUUUAGAACAGAUCUGCCCAAUAGGACUUUUUGAAGGAUGGAAAUGUUCCAUAUCUGGACUGUCCAAUAUGGUAACCAGUAGCCCCAUAUGGGCACUGAGAAAAUGAAUUAUAGCUGUUACAACUGGGGAACUAGAUUUUAAACUAUGUGAGUUUUUUCUUUUUAUUUAAUAUGAAUUAGAACAAUUCUAUUGAACUAAAAUUUACAUACCACACAAUUUACAAAUGUAAAAUGUAGGAUUCAAUAGGUUUUAGGACAUUGACAGAGUUGUACAACUAUACUACAAUCAAAUUUAAGUUAUUUUUGAUAUCCCAAAGCAAACCACUGUAUCCACUAGCUAUGAUCUCUCAAUUUCUCCCCUCUACAUCUAGGCAACUGAGAAUAGCACUGAGCUGUUCUUUACCAUCACAGAUUUUCCUAUUCUGGAAAUCUCUUUUUUGUUGUUGUUGUUCAAAAUAGACUAUGCUUAUAACAACGAUAAAGAUCUAAACUAUGCAAAAUUUAAUCAUUUUAAAUUUAAAAUUAAAUUUGGCCAUAAUCUCUACAAAUUACAUGCAUUAGAGCCUGGUAAACAUGAUAAGAUACUGAAUAAAUCCCACUAGUGAGGAAAAUGUGGUAACAUUUUCAGAAAAGUUAUAACUAUUCAUUCAAUUAUUUUCUCUAGCCCCCAAGACUAGUAACAUCUUUGUAAGUUGCAUUUGAUCUUACUUCUGUUGGUCUGAAUCCUAUAUCCCAGCAAAGAGAUGAAAGGAAAGAAAAUGCUAACUCAUAAAGUGAUGCAUUUAGGCUGAGGUUUGGAGCAAGACAACGAGCAGAACAACCUGAAUUGUUUCGAGGCAGUCCAUGAGCUAGGCAACAAGAAGUUACCAGGUGUGAGAAUGGGAACACCUGGCAAAACAGUGCCGAUCCUCAUUGUGAGCAGAGCCAGUGCUCUGGCAUUCCUUCCUUCCUUCCUUCAUCUAUUCAUCCAACAGUGACGAAGUCUCUACUCCAGAUACAUCAUAUCCUGGGAUAAUGAAAAGAUUCGUGGAAACUCAAAAGAUCAAGAAGCUCCUCUUAGGAAACGAAGGUGGGACCCAGCAUUUUUGGGAAUUGCAACCCAUUGAAUAGAAGAAUUCAGGAGCUCUAGAAUUUUUUCCUAGCAAGGAGCAAGUUGAAGAUGGACUUACAGCCCUUUACUGAGUGCCCAGUGCUGGCUGCUAGAUUUCCCAAUUUCUGAUGACCUGAAUGGAGGGAGGAAAUGUGGUUAAGGAGUUUAAUCCCAACCCAGCCACUGACUGUGUGAUUUGGACAGUUGGUUCUCACUGCCUGGCACCCUCAUCUAUAAACAGGGAGAAUCAAAUUUGUGAAUGCAGAUCGGGAGCUGUCAUCAAUGUCAAAGGAAGGGACAAGGAUAUCAAAGUAUAUGUAAUCCCAGCUUCUCUUCUUCCUAGGAGGAUUUUGUAUUUCAGAUUUUUUUGCUCAGAGUAAGAUUGCAGAAAAAAGGAAAUGAGACUACUACAGAAGAACAUUAUGGAGCCGAAGUUGUAGAAGAGAUGAAGAGGAAGGCUAGUAUUUGAAGGGACCAGAGCAGCAGAGAGGCUGAAAGCAUGAUGGGAGCUUUGGGGAGGACAGUAGAGAGCCUUUUAGGCAGUUUGCUUUGUGCUGUGUGAAAUGAUUUUCCCCUGGUUUCCUCUGCAAAUGACUUCAGGAAAACACUGGCUCAAGGAUCUUGAGGUCAGAUGUACUAUAUGAUGUCUUUGCAUUGGGUAUUAGCCUCAAAGCUCUGGCAAUAAGGCCUACCUAAAUUCAACAACCUUCUUAUUUGCUAACAAAAUCAAUCUAAGCCUUGUAGAUCUGUCUGGGGGUUACAGUUGUCCAAGAUCAGCCCUUUCUCAUUGUCCAUCUCCUCAAUUUAUUUUUCAAUUUUUAACAAUAAAUAUGGACCACUUAUAAAAGAUUAUUUGAAACAUUUCCAGGCCAGGGUCAACCAGUUGCUCAUCAGUGACAGGAGAUGGAGCAAAGUUCUGAGGCAAGACGCACUUUACACACUGGGUCACACAGAAGAAAUGGCUGGGGAAGAUCUAUGUCAAACCUGGAUGUGUGGCCUUGCUGUAGAUUGCUGGCAAUGAAUGUUGCCAUGGUCUGCAAAGGCCUGCAGGGAGAGGAGUUUACAGGAUCAGCUCAGAAAGAUUGCU